rnacentral:rRNA from 1 species
CCUACGGGUGGCAGCAGUGAGGAAUAUUGGUCCAUGGGCGCGAGCCUGAACCAGCCAAGUAGCGUGAAGGAUGACUGCCCUACGGGUUGUAAACCUCUUUUAUGAAGGAAUAAAGUGAUGCACGUGUGCCUUUUUGUAUGUACCUUAUGAAUAAGGAUCGGCUAACUCCGUGCCAGCAGCCGCGGUAAUACGGAGGAUCCGAGCGUUAUCCGGAUUUAUUGGGUUUAAAGGGAGCGUAGAUGGGUUUUUAAGUGUGUCGUGAAAGUUUGCGGCUCAACCGUGAGAGUGCAGUGGUUACUGGCAGUCUUGAGUACAGGUGAGGUAGGCGGAAUUCGGGGUGUAGCGGUGAAAUGCUUAGAUAUCACGAAGAACCCCGAUUGCGAAGGCAGCUUACUAAACUGCCACUGACAUUGAUGCUCGAAAGUGUGGGUAUCGAACAGGAUUAGAUACCCGAGUAGUC